CAGGUGUCAGCUGCCAUAGCCACAAACUUCUGCAACUUAUUACUUUACUUUCAUCAUGCUAUUCGAUUGUUCGUUGAUAGACGUAGCUCAUGAAACUUAGAUUGCAAAGGAUGCUGAUGGUGAAGGAAGAUCAUAAACGACACAACUCAAAUCUGUUGAAACAUCAUAAUUCCAUUCUGCUACUCUUUGUCCAUUGUUCGGGUCGUGUCUUGUCUGAGAGACACAGCAUAUGUGGUUUUGCAAACCCCAAACCGUCACCAUUUCCUCAGUCUUCUCAUCAUAUCUACUGAGGGGUUCAAGUGGCAAGAUUUUGUAUUGAGGAGUGAGCCUGUGGAAUUAAAACUGCAAAGAAUGCUGGCCCUGAAGGAUGGUCACCAAUGAAACAAAACUAUGGAUUGCAAUGUGUCAUGACAUUGUUGUGUUCUUGGACCACUCAUCGUUUCCUCUGCCUUUUCAUUGCUACUUUCCAGUCAUCACAUAUCCUUCCUCCAGUCUUCGCCCGUCGCGCCGUCUUCGCCUCGCCCGUCUUCGCCUCGCCCGUCUUCUCUUCACCCGUCUUCGCCUCGCCCGUCUUCUCUUCACCCGUCUUCUCUUCACCCGUCGCACCGUCAUCGCCUCGCCCGUCGCCUCGUCAUCGCCUCGCCCGUCGCCUCGUCAUCGCCUCGCCCGUCGCCUCGUCAUCGCCUCGCCCGUCGCCUCGUCAUCGCCUCGCCCGUCGC